rnacentral:rRNA from 1 species
GAUGAACGCUGGCGGCGUGCCUAAUACAUGCAAGUCGAACGAAACUUCUUUAUCACCGAGUGCUUGCACUCACCGAUAAAGAGUUGAGUGGCGAGCGGGUGAGUAACACGUGGGCAACCUGCCCAAAAGAGGGGGAUAACACUUGGAAACAGGUGCUAAUACCGCAUAACCAUAGUUACCGCAUGGUAACUAUGUAAAAGGUGGCUAUACUACCGCUUUUGGAUGGGCCCGCGGCGCAUUAGCUAGUUGGUAGGGUAAAGGCUUACCAAGGCAAUGAUGCGUAGCCGAAUUGAGAGGUUGAUCGGCCACAUUGGGACUGAGACACGGCCCAAACUCCUACGGGAGGCAGCAGUAGGGAAUCUUCCACAAUGGGCGAAAGCCUGAUGGAGCAACGCCGCGUGGGUGAAGAAGGUCUUCGGAUCGUAAAACCCUGUUGUUAGAGAAGAAAGUGCGUGAGAGUAACUGUUCACGUUUCGACGGUAUCUAACCAGAAAGCCACGGCUAACUACGUG